CCUACGGGUGGCAGCAGUGAGGAAUAUUGGUCAAUGGACGAGAGUCUGAACCAGCCAAGUAGCGUGAAGGAUGACUGCCCUAUGGGUUGUAAACUUCUUUUAUAUGGGAAUAAAAUGUUCCACGUGUGGGAUUUUGUAUGUACCAUAUGAAUAAGGAUCGGCUAACUCCGUGCCAGCAGCCGCGGUAAUACGGGGGAUCCGAGCGUUAUCCGGAUUUAUUGGGUUUAAAGGGAGCGUAGGUGGAUUGUUAAGUCAGUUGUGAAAGUUUGCGGCUCAACCGUAAAAUUGCAGUUGAAACUGGCAGUCUUGAGUACAGUAGAGGUGGGCGGAAUUCGUGGUGUAGCGGUGAAAUGCUUAGAUAUCACGCAGAACUCCGAUUGCGAAGGCAGUUCACUGGACUGCAACUGACACUGAGGCUCGAAAGUGUGGGUAUCAAACAGGAUUAGAUACCCAGUAGUC
rnacentral:rRNA from 1 species